CAACAUCAACAUGGCCGUGGCUGUACCAGCUUGCAUAUUCGUGUGCACAGACGUUCCCGCUGGCGUGUGCGUGUCCCAGGGGCGUGCUGGAGGACAGGCGACAGACGCGAGGGAGGACCAAGAACCAGGAGUUUCCCUUCGUUCGUCCCAUCACGGCUUUGGUCUCGAGGGGAAAACGGCAACAGACGAGGGAACGAGGGAGUGAAGGUUGCAGUUCGAGACGCCGCUACUUCAAUCACUUCGAGAGAUUAACUUCGCUGGAUCGUGUGAGAAUGAUGCUUGAUGAAGUGGAAGCCAAACCGAAGUCACGGGCAAGAAUCGGGACUCGGGAAGGAGGUUGAGAAGGUCGAAGUCACCGCCGGGAGUUCGCGGCCGAAGAAUCGAACGUCAGAGAGAUGACCUUGAAUGGACGAGGGCUAGCAUGGGGGAGUCCUUCGCCCCCUCCUCAGCCUCCUUCAGCCUCCUCCUCCUCCUUUUUGCUGACCACGGAAAGGAGAGGAAAGAGCCAAGAGCCGAAGGAUACGCGAAAUGAAGAAAAAAAUUGAUUCUUGGUUUGAAGGAGGGAAAGGCAGUGGGAAGGAAGGAUUGAAGGACACGAAAAGAUGAAAACGGAUAAGAAAAAGCAUUAGUAGUUCGUUUAAAUGGGAAAAGGGGAUAAGAUUAGAGGAGAAAACAAUAUGUACUCAGUUUAAAUAGGGAAAGGACAUAGAAUAAUAAGAGAGAAAAUAAGUUGUACACAGUUUAGAAGGGAAAAGAGCAUAAUAUAAGAGAAAACAAUAUAAUAUACGUAAUUUGAAUAGGAAAAGAGUAUAAAAUUAGAAGAAAAUUAUAUAUACUAAAAGAAAAACAUAAAAAAGAAGAGAUGGACACACGAAAGUAUAAACAAACAAAAAAACUCAUCCCUUACUUAACACAUCCUAGUCAAUAACUUCUCUGUGACUCAUCUCCUCUUGUUUAUGUUGUUUAUUUGUUUGUUUAUUUAUUUAUUUAUUAAGUUCAGUGCCUCUCAUGCGCUAGUGAACACUCAAUUGUCUGUUAUUGCGUUAUAUCAUCUACGUUAUAAGGUUCAAUGCGUUACGAGAGCGUGUGACUAUAUAUAUAUCAGUGGUUGCUUGUCUGUCAUACGGUUUUGUGAUGUAACUGUGUGUGUGUGUGUGUGUGUGUGUGUAUGUAUGUAUGUAUGUAUGUGUGUGUGUGUGUGUGUAUGUGUGUGUGUGUGUGUGUGUGUGUGUGUGUGUGUGUGUCUGUGUGUGUGUGUGUGUGUGUGCGCGUAGGCCUACCCUUCUCACGUCCCCACACGAAGGAAUUUAUAAGCCUGUUACAUCACAGCGGUCAUUAUGCCUCACACCCGGAAGUCUUGAGUCCACGAAUUCCAAAGUUCAUUUACCUUUUUUUGCUCCUCUGCUCCCGUGCCCCACCCCCGCCCCGACCUUGCCCCUGCUGUCUAAUCCCAUUCCUCUCGAGUACCCCUUCCCUUCCCUUCCCAAAUCCCCAUUCCUCGCAUAGCUAACCCUCCCCUCUUCUCCCCAUUCUCUAGUCCCCUUCUUUACGCUUUCCAUGUUGUCAAACCCCCUCCUCUUCCCCCUUCGAAUCCCCCUUUCCAAAUCCCCAUUCCUCGCAUAGCUAACCCUCCCCUCUGCUCCUCAUUCUCUAGUCCCCGUCUUUACCUUUUCCCUGCUGUUAAAACCCCUCCCCUUCCCCUUCGAAUCCCCCGGCCCUUCCCUUCCCAAAUCCCCAAUUCCUCGCAUAGCUAACCCUCACCUCUUUUCCCCUUCUUUACGCUAUCCCUGCUGUCGAAACCCCUGCUGUCGAAACCCCUGCUUCCCUCUCCCCUAAUCCCCCAUUCCCCUCUCGAGUCCCCAUCCUUCUUCCCUCUCAUAGCUAAACCUGACCCUCUUUCCCACAUUCCUAGCUCGCCUUCCACUUCACCUUUUCACUCUGCUCUUGUCAAUACUCUACUCCCUUUUCUCCUUCGUUACCUUGUCUGUCUACCUCUAUCUCCUUCUCUUAGCUAAAUCUGCCCUCUCCUCACCUCUUUCAACAUUCUCAAGUCGCUUCCUCUUCACCUCUUAACCCUGCCCUUGUCAAUACUCUUCCGUCUAGUCUUUCUUCUACCAUUAUCUCUUUCUCUUAGUUAAGCCUCCGAAUCCCCUUUCCCUGUUCGCUAUCCACGGCCUAUCUCUUUCUCUUAGUUAGCCUCAAAAUCACUCCUCCCUGUUCGCUAUCCACGGCCUAUCUUUUUCUCUUAGUUAGCCUCAAAAUCACUCCUCCUUGUUGGCUAUCCACGGCCUCUUCCUCUUCUUUCCCCUUUGCCAUCUCACGUCCCUCGCUGCCAUGCUCCCGUCAGAAGCUCUCCCUUUCCCACCUCUUAGCUAGCCUGGCCACUCCCUUCGUCACUGUCAUCUCACUCCCACUUCACCUUGAUCCUAAACACCUACUGUCCGCCUCCUCCUCCUCCUUCUUAGCUUCUUGUUCUAACCUUGCCCUCUGCCCCUUGCCCAGUCCUCACGCACCUCCCUUCUUGCCCCACCCAGCUUCGUGCCCUCCAUCUUUCUCUUCUUGCCCUUUUCUCUUCCAUCUCUUUCUCUUGUUCCUCUUCUUUUACUUACUUCCUUUCCCCUUCAUCUCCUCCCAUAACCAUUCUCGUAUUCUCUUUGUCUUCCUCCUCCUCUUCCCCGACCCUAACCUUCCACCCCCACCCCACGCCAAGACCACCACUCCUCUAGCCUUGUACUAAAUCCCCACCCUUACUCACGCCCUCAUGUACUGCACCUCCCUCUGCCCUGCUUGUUGAGGGAGUGGAUCUGAGGGGUUUCGAGUGACAUCAUCCAUUCAUCGUUUGUCUUGGUGAUUAAAAUAUAAAGUAAAGUUCUGAGGCUUUAUUGAGAAUUUACGAAGUGUUAUUUACAAGUAUUUAAAGUUUAUUUUUUGUACAGGGGGGAGGUUUUUGUGCAGGGAGGUAAAUAUCUGGGGGUAUCUGAGAGAGAGAGAGAGAGAGAGAGAGAGAGAGAGAGAGAGAGAGAGAGAGAGAGAGAGAGAGAGAGAGAGAGAGAGAGAGAGAGAGAGAGAC